CCUCCUUAGUCACCAGGGAAAUGCAAAUCAAAACUAUUUUGAGACUUCAUCCUUCACAAGUCAAAAUGACUGAGAUCAAUAAAACAAAUGACAGCUCAUGCUGCCAAGGAUGCAGAGUAAGGGGAACAUUCACCCAUUGCUGGUGAGAGUGCAAACUUGUUCAGCCACUGUGGAAAUCAGCUGGCAGGGCAUCGGGAAGUUGGGAAUUGAUCUAUCUCGGGAUCCUGUUAUACACCCAAAGCAUGCUUCAUCCUACCACAAAGACACUUGUUCAACCAUGCUUACUGAUGCUCUAGUCAUAAUAACCAGAAGCUGGAAACAACAUAGAUGUCCAUCAAUGGGUGAUUAGAGAAAAAGAAUGUGGCACACUAAUGCAUUAGAAUAUUAAUCUGCUACUUAAAAAAACCCUCUUGGAGUCGGGAAGGGUUUGGGGAGGAAGAAGGGGGGCUGGGAGGUGGGCAAUGGCUGGAUUGUAAAAAAUAAAAGUAAAAAUAAAAGUAAUUUUAAAAAUCCAAAAAAGAAAA
rnacentral:lncRNA from 1 species